rnacentral:misc_RNA from 1 species
AACGCAUAUUGCGCUCGAGGCUUCGGCCAAGAGCAUGUCUGCCUCAGCGUCGGUUUACCCUCAUUGCCCAACACCAUGGUGUGGUGUGCAAUGGAUCUGGCCGUUCCAGUGAAGCGGCGAGCAUGGCCACAUGUGUUUCUGACAUAUGCGGUCAUGUGCGCGUAUAAGCUCUGGAUUGGCUGAAGCGCAGAGGCUAACCAUGGACCCACUAUGGGCCGCAACUGGGUAGGCUGAUACUCAGCAAACGCUUAGUUGUUGGCUUGGGACUCUGGUUCAGCCCCAAACCAGGAAACAACAAUAAACCAUUCGACCUGAGAUCAGGCAAGAACACCCGCUGAACUUAA